rnacentral:rRNA from 1 species
GACGAACGCUGGCGGCGUGCCUAAUACAUGCAAGUCGAGCGAAGCGGCGGAUGGGUGAGUAACGCGUGGGUAACCUGCCCCUAAGUCUGGGAUACCAUUUGGAAACAGAUGCUAAUACCGGAUACUAAAGGAUGGACCUGCGAUGCAUUAGCUAGUUGGUAAGGUAACGGAGUACCAAGGCGAUGAUACCGAGUGGAGUGGAGAGACUGGUCGGCCACAUUGGGACGGGGACACGGCCCAAACGCAUACGGGAGGCAGCAGUGGGGAAUAAUGCACAAUGGGCGCAAGCCUGAUGCAGCCAUGCCGCGUGUAUGAAGAAGGCCUUCGGGUUGGAAAGUACUUGCAGCGAGGAGGCGUUACUCGCAGAAGAAGCACCGGCUAACUCCGUGCCAGCAGACGCGGUAAUUC